GGCCUUUUGGUUGUAAAGCACUUUAAGCAGUGAAGAAGACUCUUCGGUUAGUACCCGGGGACGAUGACAUUAGCUGCAGAAUAAGCACCGGCUAACUCUGUGCCAGCAGCCGCGGUAAUACAGAGGGUGCGAGCGUUUAAUCGGAAUUACUGGGCGUAAAGCGAGCGUAGGUGGCUUGAUAAGUCAGAUGUGAAAUCCCCGGGCU
rnacentral:rRNA from 1 species